UAUAGAGGUAACUUUAAAGACACCCAAUAAAAGCAGAAACACCGCAAAGAGGCCCAUUUACCACCAACAAGAUGAGUGCACUUAAAACAAAAUGAUCUUAAUUAUUUAUAACAAUAUUGAUUUUAAAUAAACAGAAUAUGUCCAUGGGUAUAUCCUAAAAUAACCAAGGGAGUCCUAAACUGUUUAGGCUGUAUCUGGGUUCUUUCAUGGGGAGAGAGACUGAACUCCUUCGGGGAUCAUAAUGAAAAAUUUAAUGGCAGAUGAGUUCAUAGUAAGAAGAAAAAAAAAAACCCUGACCAAAAUGGUAAACUGCCUAGCAGCUAAAGGACUGGGGAAACGUUUACUGUUAAG